rnacentral:misc_RNA from 1 species
GUUUAUGUCAUGUGCUUAUGAGUACAAGUAAAUGAAGUUAGUUGAAUAAUGUAUUUUGUAAACAAUGUUUACAAAUUUUCUUUGCGGCAUUUGUGAGAAAAUAAUCGUGCUCCGUAAUUUUUUAAUUUUUGACCAAAAGAAACAUUAAAAAAUGGUGAAACAUUGUAUUGUGCGUGGAUGUAAAAGAGAUUUAGCAUCUGAUCGCUAAAAUAGAAUGAAUUACUGAAAAACAAUUUGCGUCAAUCAUCUUUAUUCAAGUACCAAACUACCAAAGAAUAACGUAUUGAGGGAAAAUGGGUAAAAGCUUUAUCACAACAAUUGACUCCAAAUCAGUUUGUGUGUGAGAAGCACUUUCGCGAAGAAGAUAUUAAGAAAAUUGAUCGACUGAUUAUUAAUGGAGCUGAAAUUAUCAUCCUUCGCGAAAGGUGGACUCUUUUGAAUGACAAUGUCAUUCCAAUAAACCCUCAGGAUUUGGAAAAGGACAUUUCUGAAGAGUUGUUUUUUUUUUUGUUACAGUAAGUUCCAAUAGUGCAAAAUGACAUUAAUAACUGACCAAUCGAAAACCUGGAUUAUACACAACCCUUGUUAAAAAUCGUUCAAGGUAACAAUUUAAAAGAAGAUUCUCAACCAGCAGGACCCCAUCAUAUGGAAUCACCAGAGAUUGUAACAGCUAAUAAUGUAAAAGAAUUAGAUAUUAUUAUGUUUAUCAUAUUGUUAUAGAUUUGCGAGAUUUUAAUAUUUUUUUGUACAUAAAUUUCAACAUUAGGUCAUUAUCUCGAACAUGUCUCCACCAUCAUGUGUUACACUAGAAGAGAUCCAUGCUCAUUUUCACUCAAUACUGAUCCAAGGAUGGUGUUAUUUUGCUUGUGAUGAAGAGUUGAUAUUAUAUAAGAUAUGAAUUUUACUAUUUCCAAUAAUCUUUCAGUGAAGGUUUCUUUCUCUCAACGACCAGAAAUUGCUAUUGAUGAUACUAUAUCAUCUAUAGAAGAUAUAAAAAUGUAUAAUAUGGAAACUCUGCAAGCCACUAUCUUAUGUGAAGGAACUGACAUACACUAUAGGUACGAUAUAUUUUCUUUAAUUUCUUUUAAUAUAAAUAAAAAUCUCAUACUAUUACACAUUAGGUGAAAAUUGAAAAUAAACUUAAAGAUUCACCUAAAUCGAGGCUCCAUCUAGAACUGUGACAGCUGAAGUAAAAACAAGCAUCAAGUACAUCUUUUAGUAGUAGUGUGAAAAGAAAGAGAGUAUCUACAUUACCUUUGAAAAAUUCCAAAUCACCUUAUAAGUCAAUAGAUAUGUUUUUUAGGUAGCAGAUUUUUUUUGUAAUUAUCUAAGUGUAUGCAAAUGAACUUGUAAAUAAUGUAAAUACAUUUAUAAAGCAAUUUUAUGAAAUAAAAAAAUAUGAUAUUUUAAUUGUUUUUUAUUUUACUACUAUGUCAUUAAAUAUAGCAAAUUUUGAUCAUUCAUUUCUACUAACUAUCACUCAAUAUUGAUACUAAUUCACCACUUCGCCAGUAAACCUGUAUAGUAGUUACAAUGCAAAGGCCACGUUUAUAUUGUCUCCUUGUUAAUUAAAUAAUUAACAGAUAGUCUAAUAAUAUGGAUAAUAUAUUUCCAAUAAUUUUAGUACUAUUUAUUGACUCUUAAUUUACUUUUAGAAAAGUUGUAUUUAUAAUUAUAAAUU